rnacentral:rRNA from 1 species
AUGAUCAAGGGCGAGGGCGAGAAGCAGCCCUGGGACGGCGACGACGACUCCGCGGUGCCGAGGUACAACCGCCGCAUGGAGAUGCCUGCUGACGUGUACAAGAUAAACAAGAUCAAGGCCGAGAUGAAGAAUGGCAUCCUCUGGGUGACCCUGCUCAAGGUGGAGGAGGAGGAGCGCAAGAGCGUCUUCCACGUGAAGGUCGAGUAG